rnacentral:miRNA from 14 species
UGUGUGUGUGUGUAUGUGUGCAUGUGCACGUGUGCACAUGUGCAUGCA